rnacentral:rRNA from 1 species
GGUUAAGCGACUAAGCGUACACGGUGGAUGCCCUGGCAGUCAGAGGCGAUGAAGGACGUGCUAAUCUGCGAAAAGCGUCGGUAAGGUGAUAUGAACCGUUAUAACCGGCGAUGUCCGAAUGGGGAAACCCAGUGCAAUUCGUUGCACUAUCGUUAACUGAAUACAUAGGUUAACGAGGCGAACCGGGGGAACUGAAACAUCUAAGUACCCCGAGGAAAAGAAAUCAACCGAGAUUCCCCCAGUAGCGGCGAGCGAACGGGGAGCAGCCCAGAGUCUGAAUCAGCUUGUGUGUUAGUGGAACGGUCUGGAAAGUCCGACGGUACAGGGUGAUAGUCCCGUACACCAAAAUGCACAGGCUGUGAACUCGAAGAGUAGGGCGGGACACGUGGUAUCCUGUCUGAAUAUGGGGGGACCAUCCUCCAAGGCUAAAUACUCCUGACUGACCGAUAGUGAACCAGUACCGUGAGGGAAAGGCGAAAAGAACCCCGGCGAGGGGAGUGAAAAAGAACCUGAAACCGUGUACGUACAAGCAGUGGGAGCACCUUCGGGUGUGACUGCGUACCUUUUGUAUAAUGGGUCAGCGACUUAUAUUCUGUAGCAAGGUUAACCGUAUAGGGGAGCCGCAGGGAAACCGAGUCUUAACUGGGCGUUAAGUUGCAGGGUAUAGACCCGAAACCCGGUGAUCUAGCCAUGGGCAGGUUGAAGGUUGGGUAACACUAACUGGAGGACCGAACCGACUAAUGUUGAAAAAUUAGCGGAUGACUUGUGGCUGGGGGUGAAAGGCCAAUCAAACCGGGAGAUAGCUGGUUCUCCCCGAAAGCUAUUUAGGUAGCGCCUCGUGAACUCAUCUUCGGGGGUAGAGCACUGUUUCGGCUAGGGGGUCAUCCCGACUUACCAACCCGAUGCAAACUACGAAUACCGAAGAAUGUUAUCACGGGAGACACACGGCGGGUGCUAACGUCCGUCGUGAAGAGGGAAACAACCCAGACCGCCAGCUAAGGUCCCAAAGUCAUGGUUAAGUGGGAAACGAUGUGGGAAGGCACAGACAGCCAGGAUGUUGGCUUAGAAGCAGCCAUCAUUUAAAGAAAGCGUAAUAGCUCACUGGUCGAGUCGGCCUGCGCGGAAGAUGUAACGGGGCUAAACCAUGCACCGAAGCUGCGGCAGCGACACUAUGUGUUGUUGGGUAGGGGAGCGUUCUGUAAGCCUGCGAAGGUGUGCUGUGAGGCAUGCUGGAGGUAUCAGAAGUGCGAAUGCUGACAUAAGUAACGAUAAAGCGGGUGAAAAGCCCGCUCGCCGGAAGACCAAGGGUUCCUGUCCAACGUUAAUCGGGGCAGGGUGAGUCGACCCCUAAGGCGAGGCCGAAAGGCGUAGUCGAUGGGAAACAGGUUAAUAUUCCUGUACUUGGUGUUACUGCGAAGGGGGGACGGAGAAGGCUAUGUUAGCCGGGCGACGGUUGUCCCGGUUUAAGCAUGUAGGCUGGUUGUCCAGGCAAAUCCGGAUAAUCAAGGCUGAGGUGUGAUGACGAGGCACUACGGUGCUGAAGUAACAAAUGCCCUGCUUCCAGGAAAAGCCUCUAAGCAUCAGGUAACAUCAAAUCGUACCCCAAACCGACACAGGUGGUCAGGUAGAGAAUACCAAGGCGCUUGAGAGAACUCGGGUGAAGGAACUAGGCAAAAUGGUGCCGUAACUUCGGGAGAAGGCACGCUGGUGUGUAGGUGAAGUCCCUGCGGAUGGAGCUGAGACCAGUCGAAGAUACCAGCUGGCUGCAACUGUUUAUUAAAAACACAGCACUGUGCAAACACGAAAGUGGACGUAUACGGUGUGACGCCUGCCCGGUGCCGGAAGGUUAAUUGAUGGGGUUAUCCGUAAGGAGAAGCUCUUGAUCGAAGCCCCGGUAAACGGCGGCCGUAACUAUAACGGUCCUAAGGUAGCGAAAUUCCUUGUCGGGUAAGUUCCGACCUGCACGAAUGGCGUAAUGAUGGCCAGGCUGUCUCCACCCGAGACUCAGUGAAAUUGAACUCGCUGUGAAGAUGCAGUGUACCCGCGGCAAGACGGAAAGACCCCGUGAACCUUUACUAUAGCUUGACACUGAACAUUGAGCCUUGAUGUGUAGGAUAGGUGGGAGGCUUUGAAGCGUGGACGCCAGUCUGCGUGGAGCCAACCUUGAAAUACCACCCUUUAAUGUUUGAUGUUCUAACGUUGGCCCCUGACCGGGGUUGCGGACAGUGUCUGGUGGGUAGUUUGACUGGGGCGGUCUCCUCCCAAAGCGUAACGGAGGAGCACGAAGGUUAGCUAAUCCUGGUCGGACAUCAGGAGGUUAGUGCAAUGGCAUAAGCUAGCUUGACUGCGAGCGUGACGGCGCGAGCAGGUGCGAAAGCAGGUCAUAGUGAUCCGGUGGUUCUGAAUGGAAGGGCCAUCGCUCAACGGAUAAAAGGUACUCCGGGGAUAACAGGCUGAUACCGCCCAAGAGUUCAUAUCGACGGCGGUGUUUGGCACCUCGAUGUCGGCUCAUCACAUCCUGGGGCUGAAGUAGGUCCCAAGGGUAUGGCUGUUCGCCAUUUAAAGUGGUACGCGAGCUGGGUUUAGAACGUCGUGAGACAGUUCGGUCCCUAUCUGCCGUGGGCGCUGGAGAAUUGAGGGGGGCUGCUCCUAGUACGAGAGGACCGGAGUGGACGCAUCACUGGUGUUCGGGUUGUCAUGCCAAUGGCACUGCCCGGUAGCUAAAUGCGGAAGAGAUAAGUGCUGAAAGCAUCUAAGCACGAAACUUGCCCCGAGAUGAGUUCUCCCUGAGACU